ACCUGACUCCCUCAGUUGGUAGAGGAUGCGACUCCUGAUCACGGGGUUGUGAGUUCAAGCCUCAUGUUUGGCA
rnacentral:tRNA from 1 species